ACUUUCGUCCGAGUGUGCCAGAGUGCAGAAUAACUGAUCAAUUUAUGAAUGCUCAACACCCGUUGAAUAUGGACCGUGUAAACCUCGGCAAAAAAAAGCAUAAUCAAUUGUUGCCAGCAGCACAGUUACAAGUCAACAACGCCAACACGAAAACAGCCUAAAAGGCGUUCUCUCAUUUGUGUCUGGAAGAAGACAGCAAGAUAUCCAGUUAGCUUGGGUGCUUGACAGCCGUUGUGAGGUCAGAACUUUGGGGUCAACCCUACUCCUAGGCCAGAGCGUCCAGUAUGCGCUCUGGACGCACAGAGAGCGAAACCCUCGGAAUUUACCAACGGACAAUCUAACAACGCAUCUGACAACGCUCUGAAUUUACGAACGCCCAGUGCGCCCUCUGAACGCACUCUGGACGCACUCUGAGCGCCCUCUGAGCGCACUCUGACACUCCAGAUUUAAUUUACCAACACACCCUUAGGCCUACAUUUUUUGUUAACAAAUCCAGGGAGUCAGGGACGAAGAUAAGCGUUAUUUUAUAAAGCAGACGUGCCCGAAGCCACAAAAGAAGGAAACGGUAACCUUUACCUUUACCUGGCUAUCUGCUCGGUCUGUCCCAGUGUCUGUACAGCUUCUUCUGCUACGUUCAUUAGGAAGGACCCAAGGGGUAUCCAGGAGGAGGUAGGGCUCCUGCUGCGUUCCCCACCCUCAGGAACAGGGUGGAGGCCACAAAGGACAGACCAAAGAUUUGGGUUUCUAGAGAAGCCUCUGAGCCAGUUCAGCUGCACCACCCUCAUGCACAAGGGAGCCAACAACGAGGAGGGGGAAGAGGAUGAUGACGAUGAAGACCCCGGCGUCCAUGUUAGAAGCAGUAAGAACACCUUCAACGCAGCAGCCUCAGCCGUGCCAAUACAGUCGCCUCACGGGCCCCCACAGAGGGAGUGUGUGACGGAGAAGUCCGUCAGUACACCAACACACACACACAUUAAUCGCGCCUCCCUGCUCUGUUAUUAGCUACAUUAACAAUGAGAGUUGUAUGUACUAAGAUAGAGACGUUAACUCUCUUAGUACAUACAUUUCACACUUUAUUCUUUCCUCCCGUCAGUAACAGUUCAUGGCAUAAAGAAUAUACAGACAAGCGUUCAUGUUUAAUUUAAGCAACGUUUAUUGUACUUAUCAAUGUUAUGGAUGAGUGCGUUGUUUGUUUGGUUCUGUUCCCCUCUCUCCGUCUCUGUAGCUUCCGUGUAUGCUGGGAUAAGGACCAGAGGUACGGUAAUCGGGCUGGCUUUGUAGUGCCUGUCCCGAAUGGCUCGUUCAUGUGAAUGAGCUUAUUGGAAGACUCCAUGUCAGUAGGGAUGGGAUUUUGUAAAUGUUAUAUUGGUAUAUUGUAUCAUGAGAAACGUGUUGCAAUGCAUAUCAUUCAUGAUGUUUAGCUGAGUGGGAAAUGUAAGCUUUGAUGAAGGUAAUUGCUAAUUAAUUAGUGCUGGGUAUGCUCUGAUGGGAGGGGCUUCCCCUACAAAAAGGAGCCUCUCUUUCAGUUCAAGGGGGGGACCAUUUUGGAUUGAGCUAUUGAUGGGGCAGCAUUGUUAUUUUAAUUACAUUUUUUAUAGCUGUCCCAUAAUGGAUACUUUGGAUGGCAGUACUGUUGUUUUUCUUCCGUAUUCACUAUGUAAAUAAACACCCAGAAGCACAGAA